rnacentral:rRNA from 1 species
UCCCGCCGGACCUGACUGCUAUCGGAUUGAUACUAAGCCAUGCGAGUCAUUGUAGCAAUACAAGGCAGACGGCUCAGUAACGCGUAGUCAACCUACCCUAUGGACGGGAAUAACCUCGGGAAACUGAGUAUAAUGCCCGAUAGAACAUUAUGCCUGGAAGGGUUUAUGUUCCAAAUGAUUUAUCGCCGUAGGAUGGGACUGCGGCCUAUCAGUUUGUUGGUGAGGUAAUGGCCCACCAAGACUAUUACAGGUACGGGCUCUGAGAGGAGAAGCCCGGAGAUGGGUACUGAGACACGGACCCAGGCCCUAUGGGGCGCAGCAGGCGAGAAAACUUUGCAAUGUGCGAAAGCACGACAAGGUUAAUCCGAGUGAUUUCUGCUAAAGAAAUCUUUUGCCAGUCAUAAAACCACUGGUGAAUAAGGGGUGGGCAAGUUCUGGUGUCAGCCGCCGCGGUAAAACCAGCACCUCAAGUGGUCAGGAUGAUUAUUGGGCCUAAAGCAUCCGUAGCCGGCUUUGUAAGUUUUCGGUUAAAUCCAUGUGCUCAACGCAUGGGCUGCCGAAAAUACUGCAUGGCUAGGGAGUGGGAGAGGUAGACGGUACUCAGUAGGAAGGGGUAAAAUCCUUUGAUCUAUUGAUGACCACCUGUGGCGAAGGCGGUCUACCAGAACACGUUCGACGGUGAGGGAUGAAAGCUGGGGGAGCAAACCGGAUUAGAUACCCGGGUAGUCCCAGCUGUAAACGAUGCAGACUCGAUGAUGCAUUGGCAUAAUAGCCAGUGCAGUGUCGCAGGGAAGCCGUUAAGUCUGCCGCCUGGGAAGUACGUACGCAAGUAUGAAACUUAAAGGAAUUGGCGGGGGAGCACCACAAGGGGUGAAGCCUGCGGUUCAAU